rnacentral:rRNA from 1 species
AACGAACGCUGGCGGCAGGCUUAACACAUGCAAGUCGAGCGCCCCGCAAGGGGAGCGGCAGACGGGUGAGUAACGCGUGGGAAUCUACCCAUCUCUACGGAAUAACGCAUGGAAACGUGUGCUAAUACCGUAUACGUCCUUCGGGAGAAAGAUUUAUCGGAGAUGGAUGAGCCCGCGUUGGAUUAGCUAGUUGGUGGGGUAAAGGCCUACCAAGGCGACGAUCCAGAGCUGGUCUGAGAGGAUGAUCAGCCAAACUGGGACUGGGACACGGCCCAGACUCCUACGGGAGGCAGCAGUGGGGAAGAUUGGACAAUGGGCGCAAGCCUGAUCCAGCCAUGCCGCGUGAGUGAUGAAGGCCCUAGGGUUGUAAAGCUCUUUCACCGGUGAAGAUAAUGACGGUAACCGGAGAAGAAGCCCCGGCUAACUUCGUGCCAGCCGCCGCCGUAAGAC